rnacentral:rRNA from 1 species
UUUAAUUCGAAGCAAGCGAAGAACCUUACCUAAGCUUGACAUCCCAAUGACAUCUCCUUAAUCGGAGAGUUCCCUUCGGGGACAUUGGUGACGGGUGGUGCAUGGUUGUCGUCAGCUCGUGUCGUGAGGUGUUGGGUUAAGUCCCGCAACGAGCGCAACCCUUGUCUUUAGUUGCCAUCAUUAAGUUGGGCACUCUAGAGAGACUGCCAGGGAUAACCUGGAGGAAGGUGGGGAUGACGUCAAAUCAUCAUGCCCCUUAUGCUUAGGGCUACAC